rnacentral:rRNA from 1 species
UACGGGGGGGGGCAAGCGUUUGUUCGGAAUUACUGGGCGUAAAGGGCUCGUAGGCGGCCAACUAAGUCAGACGUGAAAUCCCUCGGCUUAACCGGGGAACUGCGUCUGAUACUGGAUGGCUUGAGAUUGGGGAGAGGGAUGCGGAAUUCCAGGUGUAGCGGUGAAAUGCGUAGAUAUCUGGAGGAACACCGGUGGCGAAGGCGGCAUCCUGGACCAACACUGACGCUGAGGUGCGAAAGCCAGGGGAGCAAACGGG